UGACGUCGUCCGGACAGGAAGCAGUCGGAGAUGACAUGAAGAAUUUUGCUGAGCAGCUCAAACCAUUAGUUACUCUUGAAAAAACAGAUCACAGAAAAAUCCAGCUGGCACAGACGUAGUCAAAACUUUGGUAUGGUGAAAACAUUGAUGUAGUGGAAACUGUGACAUAGUGGAAACAUUGGCAUAAAAGAAACUGUUGAUACACCAACAUAGAAAAUAGCAUUGUAAAAAUCAUUUAUUACAUGUAUUUGAAACAUUUAAAAAGUUGAAUGGCAGCGAAUGCUUGCACAUUCAAUGUUUCCAUACAUGACAGUUUGGAACAAACUGUGGAUAAAGUAAAAACAUGGCUAAGUGUGAAAAUCAGCAUAGUGGAAACAUAGAAGUAGUGGAAAUAACUCUGAAACAGAAGAUGGCGUAAACACAGAUCAAUAUGGUGGAAAUGUAAGAAUUAGAUAAUUCCCGACAAUGAUGACAGACACUGGAGAUGGCAUGCUCCACGCCAGGAACGCCACGUAAUAACUUGGAUCAUGACCGACUGAUCUACAACAUAAAAAUAAAUCAUGUGUAAAAAUU
rnacentral:misc_RNA from 1 species